rnacentral:tRNA from 1 species
CCGUCGAUAGUUUAAUGGUUAGAAUGGGCGCUUGUCGCGUGCCAGAUCGGGUUCAAUUCCCCGUCGCGGA